GGCUCCUUGCACUUAAAACAAAUAAUGUUCUUGCCAGCACCUGACUUCUUUAGUCUAGAUGUAGACUCAGAGAGACCACUUAUCCUUCUAGAUCCUCUAAACUUGCUUUGUCUUUUCUUCUAGAUUUGAUUAACAUGUUUGUAAAUAAGAGAUAAUUCAUCUUCUUCUUCAGAAUCCUCUUCUUCUUCAACUUGAAAGGCUUUAGUCUUU
rnacentral:lncRNA from 1 species